rfam:Schistosoma rodhaini strain Burundi genome assembly, scaffold: SROB_scaffold0001131
AUUCAGCUGACGAGUCCCGAAUAGGACGAAACGCGCGUCCUGGAU